AAUAUUUGACCUAUGUGGUUUCUUAAUUUUUAAAAAUAAUUUAUUUUUAUCUUGCCUAUUGAUUUUGAAAUUUUGUCUUUUGUUGUGGAUUGUUUUCUUCUCCGUUGUAUUUGUUUGAUUUUGUUGGUCUUGUUUUUUCUCAUUACAUCUGUUGUUACACGAAGUACAUUGUUUUUCAUUGCACUGUUUUGUUAGAUCGCCUUGUCAUGACCCAAUUUAGAAUCAUGACCGGUGCUAAGGAUAAGAGUUCCAAAGCAAGCCUUAACAAAAAAUCUAUAGAAAAUCCGAUAGAGUUUCCUCUGUUUUUGGGCUUAUCCUGAACUUACUUGUAACAUAAAUCAAUAACACAACCAACUAAUCAUCUUUUUCCCACCUUAUUCAUCAAUAAACUAUUCGAAGAGUAAACAUACUAUUUCUAACUCCAAAACAUAAGUCUCAUACUAGACACCAGUUUGCAAUACGAAAGAAUACUCAUAACUUCUAAUAAAGAACUAAUUGUGGAGCGACUCUAAGAAUUUCAACAAAUGUCUAUAACAACUAAUAAUCUUGUUAUCCACGCGAACAAGUGUGGGACUCACUGAAAAUUAUCAACUCGAAAGCUCUAGACCUUACCAAAGUCACCUGUAUUUCUGUAAAAAAUAUAGUGAGGAGUGAGACUCUAGCUCAAUGAGUAAUAAUACUAAACCACAACCAUUUUAACGAGGGAAAAGUCAAAAACAUGCUAGUGUGAUAGUCAUAAUGAUGAAAUAAUGAUCUUUCAAUCUUAUAUGCCUCAUAUAAGCAUAAUCAGUGUAAAUACAUAAUAGCAAAAUCAAUAAAAGAACAUUUUCAUAUAAAAUCUUAUUUCUAGGAGGUUUCCAAGGACGUUACAUGUAAUUAGAGUGGUCUUCUCUUUAAGAAGUAAUCAAUAAUAGUGAAAUCCUCGUAAUGGAGUUAAAUAUUCAUAUCAGUAGAUCCCUACUCGAGGGAUAUCAGUAACAGAAUACUAGUUCCACAUCCCACUAGCAAGGGCUUUAUCAAAAAUCAAUAACUACAAGGUGCACCACGUCUAACGAUCCCGCCGUCAGCUACGGGAUUCAUCAAGGUCUACUCCCAUUCAUAUUCUUCUUGUAAUCACUAAAAGCAUUUCAAAAUCAAACAGAUCAAAUCAUAUCAUUUCAAAGUUCAACCAUCAUCUGUCAAAAUACUAUUUCUCAAAUAAGUGUAAAACCUUUUAAAUAACAGAAAUCAUAUCUUGUAAAAAAUAAGACCAUCUCAAAUUAAAUAAUCUUUUCAGUAUCAUAUCCAGUAAGAGACUUGUCCUACAGGCAAGUUCAAAACGUUCAAUAACACAUUUACUUUAUAAACCAUGUGAAAAUCAUGCAAUUUAUAAAACAUCAAUUGUGGUAGCAUUACUACUCACAUUACUUGUGCUGAAAAUACCAAGCUCGCCACUUGAGUAUCCGUAUGAAUCCCUUUGGUUAAUCUAUAAUCACAUUCAUACUAAUUUCGUAUUAACCUCGUCAUACAUGCUAUUUCAUAAUAAAUUAAAACACCCAGCCCUAGAAGUUCCAUGAAUGACUCAAAAUCUGACCAACCACCUAAUUGGUGCUUUAAUUACACAAAGCAACCUCCCUUUGAUUAAUUUCACAUUGUAAUAAACCAACAUAACCUUGCUGCCCAUCAACUUUUACUUCAUAUUUGCCGAAUAGCAAGGUUUAUAGUUCAAAUUAUUAGUGCACUCCUUCAAAUCAUGAGAAUUUGACAAUUCCCUCUAUUUCUUUUAAAUCACGAUUUCUCAAACUCUCAACCCCAGUUCUAUAGCUAUGGGAAAUUCAGAUGAAAUCUAUAGCUAAGUUCAGAAGCUUACCUUCCUCUUCCGCUUCUUUCUUUAUUUAAGAAUCCAAGCUUAUCAAUUCUCUUCCUCGCUCCUUCUCUCUUCCAAAUCUAUUAAAUUGCCAUGGUGGAAACAAAUUUCUCCAGUGAUAUGGAACUUGAGGAUGUUGGCUUGUUCUUGCAUUUGCUUUUCCUUUUUUACCAUUACUACUCACACAAAUAACUAACAAGUGAGAACCGACAACAAUGAUGAACGUAGGAAGGAAACUAUUUUUUUUCUUCAUUUCUCUCUGCUAAAAAAUGCAGCGUGGCUGCCAAGGGCUUUUAGCCCAGUCUCUUUUCUUUUCCUUUUUUUUAACUAAAGACUCGUUUACCCUUAACUAAAAUUAUGGGGUAUUACAAUCCCCUAAACUUUGAUCGACUUCAGUGACGUUUUCUGUCAAUCACAUUGUUGAGUUCUGUUGUAUCUGUUAUUUAUUUUGCAUGUUUUAUUAUAGGUUUACUCUGGUUAUGGCUAAAACUAGAGGUGGGUUUGUUAAACGAUCUGUUCCUAAGCCUUCUAAAAAUAAGAAAAGAAAGGCUGAAGAAAUUUCAAGAUCUUCAAUAAAGAAAAAAAUUGUAGUUGAAGAACCCAAGUCUAACUCGGGUUCUCAUAGGAUGGUUGAAAUCAACAACUAUGAGGAUAGUAGUGCCCAAGACAAGUUCAUAAGAUUUUGUAUGAUGCUAAAACGAAAAAUAACUUAGACCAUCAAUAGAGGGGAAGCUAACUUUGACUACAUCAGAUUCUAAGUAUUAUGCAACAGAGAAUGCUUCUAGUCACAAUGGAAAGAGGGAAAAUAUUUAAAGUUUCUAAAUUUAACCAAUGUAGAAAAAAACAAGAUAGGUUAGGAUUUUACAAUAGACAACUAUCAAAUGAAAAUAUGCAUGCUAUUAUGGAGACUUAGACGAACGACGACUUAUUAACACAAUGGACAUAUUCGACUUGACAAAAAUUCCAGCACUACAAGAUCCUAACAGACAAGUUCAAAGCCAAAUGGAUUCAUUUAGAUAGGACUACAAUCUUCAAGAAGUAAUCUGUACAACUCGUGUUAAGGGAAUGCUAGAUGGAGUCUCUAAGGGGUUUUGAGAUUUCUUUUGAAAGACAAUGGGGCUAACAACAGGACAUCGUACAUUGAUGACUAUUGCAUAUCUUAUGGACUAAAUAAUAGGAAAACCAUACUAAAAACGAGAGAAACAACCAAACUAAACAAAUUCUAGUGAAACCAAAUAAAGAUAUUAGCACAUUACGAUCAUAAACAAAUUAUAUAACACCCAACUAAUGUUCACAUGUUCAUAAAAUGCUAAAGAACUAAGCUUAGGCAGUUAUUUGAAUGAAACAAUAAGAACAGCUACUACAAUUAAAACUAGACAAGGAAUAUUUCACAACCCACUUCAUCGUAUUAAUUUUGGCACGCCUUAACUGAAAACAAGCUAUCACUCACAGGACGACUUGUGUUAUAAUUCAUAUCAAAGUAUAAGAUGUCCCACACUUUUCAUUAAUUUAAUGUAAAUCAGAGGGAAACGGAAAAUUCCGCAACUUAAUCAAGAUUCAAGAAUUUAGACGCAAGAGAGAUAACAUUUAUUCUACUUUGAAAAAUGUGAACAACACAAUUACACGAAGCACAUCAAAUUGCUAGCUAACAAAUCAGAUAAUUAUUGAACUUGCUAAUGCAUUUUUUAGAUUAAGGAUAUUCUUCAGGAAAAAUCACUAUCCAUAUCAAUCCUUUUGUGGAGCAUCAAACAAGGGUUUUGACGUCAAGAUUCAACUUUGAACUCGAACAACGACUCGAAGAAGAACGGAAGCAGAAAACAAAAGAUAACCUUAAAAUCUAUUUCUCAGACGAUUUUUAGAUUUGUUUUUUGGAUGUUCAUCGAUGUAGAUCGAUCUUAAAGGAUUCUGGAUAUUUAUGGAUGAUUUUUGUAUAUUUUUUUCCCUUCUAAGGAUCAAAUGGUACCCUUUUAUAGCAAAAAUCAUAACCUCUAUUGACCUAGAAUUCAAAAUUUUUGAAUUCUUGGGAAGCCAAGUUUGAACAGAGAAAAUAAAAUGAGGCAGAAGAAAAAUCUCUGAAGAAUUGCCUUUUCUGAUCGAUUUGAGAGGUUGAAGUGACUGAUGUACCAUUUUCCGGCGGCCCAGAGCCGUUUCUGUUGAAGGGGAUGAGGAAUCACGUGGGGUGGCCAUGGGAGAGUAGCUUGGAGCGUCUGAGGAGGAAGCUAACUAGUUGGAUCAGGUCUGACGAAUUGAUGGGAGAGGACGUCUUGGUAGCCAUAGGCGAUGGUGCAGCUAUCGUAGAGAUUAGUAUGAGGGAGAAGGUGGGCAACGAUGGUAGAGACCGGAGCUCUGGGCGUCUAGAAAGGUGAAGAGAGCGUUGUUGUUUUUUUUCUUUUGGGGAAGAAGGUUACGAGCGUAUAGGGUUGUGGUGGUAGAGUCUAUGUUGAAAAGUCUUGUUUGAUCUCGGUCGUCCGAUCAUUUGAUCGGACGGUUAAUAAAAUAAAG
rnacentral:lncRNA from 1 species